AUUGAACGCUGGCGGCAGGCCUAACACAUGCAAGUCGAGCGAGCGGCGGACGGUUGCGUAAUGUCUGGGAACCCGUCUGUUGGCUGGGGAUAACUACUGGAAACCGUUGCUAAUCCCGCAUUCCAUCCGAUGUGGCCAGAUGGGAUUUGCUAGUAGGUGGGGUAACGGCUCACCUAGGCGACGAUCCCUAGCUGGUCUGAGAGGAAGACCAGCCACACUGGAACUGAGACACGGUCCAGACGCCUACGGGAGGCAGCAGUGGGGAAUAUUGCACAAUGGGCGCAAGCCUGAUACAGCCAUGCCGCGUGUGUGAAGAAGGCCUUCGGGUUGUAAAGCACUUUCAGCGGGGAGGCGGUACCCGCAGAAGAAGCACCGGCUAACUCCGUGCCAGCAGCCGCGGUAAUAC
rnacentral:rRNA from 1 species